CACGUAGGGUGCGAGCGUUGUCCGGAAUCAUUGGGCGUAAAGAGCGUGUAGGCGGCCAGAAAAGUCCGCUGUGAAAACUCGAGGCUCAACUUCGAGCUGUCGGUGGAAACUUUCUGGCUAGAGUCCGGAAGAGGAGAAUGGAAUUCCUGGUGUAGCGGUGAAAUGCGCAGAUAUCAGGAAGAACACCCGUGGCGAAGGCGGUUCUCUGGGACGGUACUGACGCUGAGACGCGAAAGCGUGGGGAGCGAACAGG
rnacentral:rRNA from 1 species